AUUGAACGCUAGCGGGAUGCUUUACACAUGCAAGUCGAACGAGUGGCGGACGGGUGAGUAAUAUAUCGGAACGUGCCCAGUAGCGGGGGAUAACUACUAGAAAGAGUGGAUAAUACAGCAUACUAUUGGAGCGGGCGAUAGCGGAGUAGCUAGUUGGGGGGGUAACGGCUCACCAAGGCAACGAUCCGUAGAUGGUUUGAGAGGACGACCAGCCACACUGGGACUGAGACACGGCCCAGACUCCUACGGGAGGCAGCAGUGGGGAAUUUUGGACAAUGGGUGAAACCCUGAUCCAGCCAUCCCGCGUGUAUGAGAAGGCCUUCGGGUUGUAAAGUACUUUUGGCAGAGAAGCGGUAUCUGCAGAAUAAGCACCGGCUAACUACGUGCCAGCCGCCGCGGUAAUAC
rnacentral:rRNA from 1 species